GCAGGGCAGGAGAGAGCUAGGCGUGCUCUAAGCCACCUCUCUCGCCCUUCUCAGCAGGAGAAACACAUCGUUGAGAAAUAUCUUCCUUGAAACGUAUCUUCUUCCACUCCAUCUCAGUAGUGGAAAAGGGACAAGUUCGAAGGUCACAUCUUAAGCAGAUCCUUUAUUUCAAUACCUGCAAAGGUAUUUGAACAUAACAAAGCUAUGCUGCAAGUCCGUGUCCAAUUCGGAGCAUUUGGACACAGCUAAAGGAUGAUUUGCAGCAGCCUGAACUCAUUACUGUAUUCAUGCUCUCAGACUGAAUACACCUUGGUUACCUGGAUAUAACAUCUUGACUCUUUCUGUGUGGCACUUUAUUGGAUCUUGGAGGUGUAGUUUACACAGCAAAAUCUUCGUUCUUUGCUAAUUUUGUUAGAAGCUGGACCUAAAUAAUGACACAAAAAUUAGUUUCCUGCAUCUGGAUUGUUCACCCAACUGAAAAAGGACAAAACCUCUCCAUCCUUCCUGCAAACCUGGUUUAACAUCACAGACAUUUACCCAGGUUUACAAGCAAAUGUACAACUAAAAUAACGUCUUCAUAGUGAAUUACUGCUGUAGGCGUUACCUCAGCUGUACCUGCACCACGGCAUGCCAAAACGAUUACUUACGACCACCUACUGUAAUUUUUCUCUUGAAUAGCAAGUGGAUAAUGAAAGUGCCCAGCCUCCAGUAUACCUUUCGAGAUUUGACUAAGAACAGGAGUGCUUGAGAGCUGAACAAAUUUUAGGGAUGGGAUGCUUAUCCCUGCCUUCGGUUGCCCCAGGAUUCUACCUGCUAUUAUCCCAUUGUUGACUUUUCAAACAAGCACCGUUAGAUAUUUUCCAAUUGUGAUAUUUGUGUUUGGAAGGAGAAUCCCAAGUCUUCUUUGGCAGAUUCUCUUCCAACACCUCUUGAGUGGAUGGACCAUAAGUCAGGGUCUGGACGAGCGGUCUGUCCCACUGUAAGAGAGGAUCAGGUUCGUGACCACCUGAGGAACCUGAAUAUGUUCGUGAGACCUGAUGAGAUGCAUUCCAGAAUCUAUGAGGGAGUGACCACAUCAGUGGGUAAAAGAAGAGCUAUGGAUGUAAUCUAUUUGGACUGCUGCAAGGCCUUUGACACGGUCCUUCACAACAUCCUUCUCUCUGAAUUGGACAGAUAUGGAUUUGAUGGUUGGACUGUUUGGGGGAUGAUGAGUUGAUUGGAUGAUGUGUCCAGAGGGUAGUGACCAAUGGCUUGAUGUCCAGAUGGAGAUCAUUGAUGACUGAUGUCCCUCAGGAGUCUGCAGUGGGACCAGUACUGUUUAAUGUCUUCAUGAGUGACAGAGAUGGUGGGAUGGAGUACACCCUCAGCAAGUUUGCAGAGUACACCAAGCUGAGUUGUGUGCUUGACACACCUGAGGAACAAGAUGCUACCCACAGGGACAUACCCUGCCAUGCUGGACAAGCCUGAGAAGUGAGCCUAUGUGAACCUCAUGAAGUUCAAGAUGGCCAAAUGCAAGGUCUUGCACAGGCAUGGGGACAGCUACUGGUAUCAAUACAGGCUAGUCAAUGAAGUGAUUGAGAGCGGCCCUGACAAGAAGGAUUUAUCAUAAAAUCAUAGAAUUGUUUGGUUGGAAAAGACCCAUGAGAUCAUCAAGUCCAACCGUACCUGUCCACUACUAAAUCAUAUCCACGAGUACCUCAUUUACCUGUCUUUUAAAUACCUCCAGGGAUGGUGACUCAAUCACUUCCUUGGGCAGCCUGUUCUAGAUUAAAAAGUCUUUCAGUGAAGAGAUUUUUUCCUCAUAUCCAAUCUAAAUCUCCCCUCGAGUAACUUGAGGCCAGUUCACCUUGUUGUAUCAUUUGUUACUUGGGAGAAAAGACCACUACCCGCAUCACUACUGCCUCCUCUCAGGUAGGUGUGGAGAGUGAUAAAGUCUCCUCUCAGCCUCCUUUUCUGUAGGCUAAACAACACCAGUUCCCUCAGCUGCUUCUCAUAAGGUUUGGUCUUCAUCCCCUUCACCAGCUUUGUUGCCAUUCUUUGGACACGCUCCAGCACCUCAAUGUCCUUCUUGUAGUAAGCGGCCUAAAACCGAACACGGUAUUGGAGGUGUGGCCUCAGCAAUGCUGAAUACAGGGGCACAACCACUUCCCUGGAAAGUGGAAGUCCUGGUGGAUGAAAAGCUGGACAUUAGCCAGCAAUGUCCCUAGCAGCUGAGACAGUCACCUCUGCCUAGGGUUGCAUCAAAGCAAAUGUGGCCAGCAGGUCAAGGGAGGUGGUUCUGCACUUCUACUCCAUUCUGGUGAGAUCCAACCUGGAGUACUGUGUCCAGCUCAGGAGCCCUUAGCACAGGAAAGACAUGGACUUUUUGGAGUGUGACCAGUGGAGGGCUAGAAAAAUGAUCAGAGGGACAGAACACUUCUAUGAAGAAAGGCUGAGAGAGUUGGUGGUGUUCAGCCAGGGGUAGAAACAAAGAUCAUACUAGCUGAGUCAUUAUCCUUGUAACUGUCACCCAUUCCAAACUUAUAACCAUGCUUUGAGCUGAAUUUCUGCUGAAAACAUUAUCUUCUGAAACUGAGUGCUCGACAUUUUCCAGAAACUGCCUAUGUCCAAACAUUAAAACAAGUAACACAAUGUCAGUGUCAUCCGAGCAGAGCAGAAGCACUCUCACAUUGAUUUUGGCAUUAACACACAUUAUAAAUAAUCACUAUUUUUAUUUUGAGAUACCAUUCUAGGAUUGAGAUGCGUACUAUCUUAGGCCUUGUAUGGACACAGUGAAGUGGUAGAGGAAACAAGUUUACUCAGCAGAGAUUUGUGCAAGUUUACACAGGUACGUAACAUGAGACCUCAUAUGGGACUUUUAAUGAGGCAUGUGCUCUUCAUUUCAACCUUAUGCAGAUAGCUAACAAAUGAAGAAGAAAAAUCCUUUGAAAGACCUAGGAAAAGUGAGACUUGUCUCUGCUCCUAAGGCUUGUGGAAUUGCAGAAAUCAGAGUUGUAUCAAUUGCACCCAGGUGCCAUGAAUAAACUGCUUGUAUAUGCUCCAUCAUUUGUCCUUAGCCAGUAGUAUGUACUGCCCUGCUGACCUAUCGACUUCUAUCACAUCCCUGCCUUCAUUCAGGAACCAUCGGAUUCAAAGUGUGGCAAAACUAGAUUUCAUCCUCUCAACUUACUACAAUUAGGAAUUUGCUACAGAAAUUCCAUGUGUUGUGGCUGCGUGGAUGAAAGCAAUUCCACAUCGUUCCUUUUCUGAUUAGAACACUGACAAUUCUAAGAUCCAGAUUUAAUUAUGACACAUGAGAGACAUUAUAUUCAAAUAAAUUCUUAUUUGUAAAUUCUUAUUUAUAAAUUUUCUGCGUGAAACUAUAUUUUUUAAAUAUUUUAUUUAGGUAAGUGCAUUUUCUUCAGCAGCCACAAGGUGGGAGUAUUGACCUUUAAGGCUGUGUUGUGUUUUUCAUUUGCUUUUUAUUGGGUUUUGUUUGUUUGUUUUGUUUUGUUUUAUUUUGUUUUUCUUUUGUGCUAUGCCAGGCAAAGACUUUGAAAAGAAUGUUUUGUUCUCCCCUACCAAGUUCUCCACUAUGAUUUAAACGGAGAAGAGUUUCUGGAAUGUUUAGAAACCUUUCUCCCAAUAUGAAUCUAGAGGCAGAAUGUUAUCUUAAAAAUAUUUCUUGUGAUUAAGCAGUUCAUUUCCCUGAUGCAAGCUUCAGAGCAGUUCUUUCUCAGUUCUGCUCUGACCUGACACCUUUUCAGAUGAUUUCCCCUUAGCCCUUUCACUAGACUGUAAGGAUAAGUAUGGUAAAAACAGUUCAUGCUGUAUUUACAGUUCACCAUCUGCAAGUGAAAGUGUGUGGCUUACUUGAUAAAAUGACCAGCUCUGACUAAUUUUGGAAGUGAGAACUCUUGGUAAGAAAACAUUAAGAAACAGAAUAUUCCUCGGUUAAGUUUUAAUACCUAUGUGAUUGGAGGACUAAUUUCUGCCUUUAGACUUAUUUCUGAAAGGUGUGAACAAGUAGUGAUAACCUAUUUGUCAUGUGAGACAUAGUGCCUUUGAAGGUACUAGAAGAAAAUGGACCAGUCCAAAAUUAUUGAUUCUGAAUUUCUGAGCAUUGAGGAAGUUCAGAUAAGACGCUCCUUGGCCUGUACUGAAAGCAUUCAUACCUUUUGGGAAACUUUUACCUGCACAUAAGUGAUGUGACCAUACCCUUCUUACAUCUGAAACACAGCAGCACCCGAGCUGCCUUUUUUUUUCCGUUUGUUCACUUUUUCACUUUUCACUGUUAAAGAGGGAAGCAUUGGGUACGUUGUUACCUGUUAAUGGAGUUUGGAUAUGUAUACAGAUGUCUGUGAACAGCUUUGAAAAAUUGUGAAGUGUAACCAGGCAUGUGUUUAUUUUGAACCAUCUGGCGCAAAGAAGACAGGGAAUGACUUAACCAUUAAAUGCUGCAUGCAGGUAUUAAGGCAAGAGUAUUCAGACAAAACUUAAUUUCUGAUUUGGCUCAUUAGAUGAAUGUCAUAAACAAGAGUUGACUAAUACUUUUG